ACAUACACCGGUAAUAUCCUGAUUGCUGUGAACCCAUUUCAAAGGUUACCUCAUCUCUAUGAUACCCACAUGAUGGAACAAUAUAAAGGGGCAGAUUUUGGGGAGCUAAGUCCUCAUGUUUUUGCAGUUGCUGAUGUUGCUUACAGGGCUAUGAUUAAUGAAGGGAAAAGCAACUCCAUCUUGGUCAGUGGAGAAAGUGGGGCUGGCAAAACUGAAACAACUAAGAUGCUUAUGAGAUACCUGGCAUAUUUGGGUGGACGAUCUGGAAUAGAAGGACGGACCGUCGAACAACAAGUUCUGGAAUCCAAUCCAGUUCUUGAAGCUUUUGGAAAUGCCAAAACUGUUCGAAACAAUAACUCAAGUCGUUUCGGUAAGUUUGUUGAGAUACAGUUUGACAAAAAUGGAAGGAUAUCUAGUGCCGCUAUUAGAACAUACUUACUUGAAAGAUCUCGUGUCUGUCAAAUUAAUGAUCCUGAAAGGAACUACCAUUGCUUUUACCUUCUCUGUGCUGCACCUCAUGAGGAGAUUGAGAAGUACAAGUUGGGAAAUCCACAGUCAUUUCAUUAUCUUAACCAAUCCAAAUGCUUUAAGCUAGAUGGGGUUGAUGAAGCUCAAGAAUAUCUAGCAACUAGAAGGGCAAUGGAUAUAGUUGGAAUCAGUGAGCAGGAACAGGAGGCAAUAUUUAGGGUUGUAGCUGCUAUACUUCAUAUUGGGAAUAUCGAUUUCGUUGAAGGGCCAGAGAUAGAUUCAUCUGUUAUCAAGGACGAGAAGUCAAGAUUCCAUCUUGACAUGGCAGCUGAACUUCUGAUGUGCAAUGUCAAGGGUUUAGAAAAUGCAUUGAUAAAACGUGUCAUGGUGACCCCUGAAGAAGUUAUUACAAGAACUCUUGAUCCUGCUUCUGCAAUUGUCAGCAGGGAUGGCUUAGCAAAAACCAUCUAUUCCCAUCUGUUUGAUUGGCUUGUAGAGAAAAUUAAUAUAUCGAUUGGGCAGGACCCUACUUCAAAGUCGCUGAUUGGAGUUCUGGAUAUAUACGGUUUUGAAAGUUUCAAAUGUAAUAGUUUUGAACAACACUGUAUCAACUUCACAAAUGAAAAGCUGCAACAACAUUUCAACCAGCAUGUCUUCAAAAUGGAGCAAGAGGAGUAUACCAAGGAGGAGAUUAACUGGAGCUACAUAGAGUUUGUCGAUAACCAAGAUGUUCUGGAUUUGAUUGAGAAGAAACCUGGAGGCAUCAUUGCACUUCUUGAUGAAGCCUGCAUGUUUCCCAGGUCAACACAUGAGACAUUUGCUCAAAAAUUGUAUCAGACAUUAAAAAACAACAAGAGAUUUAUAAAACCGAAACUUUCUUGUACCAACUUCACAAUCUGCCAUUAUGCUGGAGAGGUAACAUAUCAAGCCGACUACUUCUUAGACAAAAACAAAGAUUAUGUUGUGGCAGAACAUCAGGAUUUACUAAAUGCUUCCAAGUGCCCAUUUGUUUCGGGUUUAUUUCCACCACUUCCUGAAGAGACAUCAAAGUCUUCAAAGUUCUCUUCCAUUGGCUCCUGGUUUAAAUUUUGACUUGUGAUCAUAAAAAAAAUGUCAGCUACAACUUCAAUCUCUGAUGGAAACGUCCUCAAACCUUCUAUUUUCGAGAACUUCAAUGUUAUCCAACAAUUGCGCUGUGGAGGUGUUCUAGAAGCAAUCAGGAUCAGCUGUGCUGGAUAUCCAACUCGAAGAACAUUUUAUGAAUUUCUCCUUCGGUUCAGUCUUCUUGCCCCAGAAGUUUUGGAAGGAAACUUUGAUGACAAGGCUGCAUGCCAAAAGAUUCUGGACAAAAUUGGAUUGAAAGGUUACCAGCUAGGCAAGAGCAAAGUGUUCCUGAGAGCUGGCCAGAUGGCUGAAUUAGAUGCUAGAAGAGCAGAGGUGCUUGGAAGAGCAGCCAGAACAAUUCAAAGACAAAUCCGUACAUAUAUUGCUCGUAAAGAGUUCCUUAGGCUACGGCAAGCAUCUGUUUAUUUGCAGUCUCUCUGGAGAGGAAGACUGGCCUGUAAACUGUAUGAGUGCAUUAGACGUGAAGCAGCAGCAGUCAAAAUUCAGAAGAAUUUGCGCCGAUAUUUUGCAAGGAAAUCAUAUACAGCACUUCGAAUGUCAGCAAUUACGUUGCAAACAGGCUCAAGGGAAAUGAUUGCUCGCAAUGACUUUAGGUUAAGAAAGCAAACUAAAGCUUCAAUUUGUAUUCAGUCUCAAUGGCGUUGUCACAGGGAUUAUUCUUAUCACAAGAGGUUGCAAAAGGCAACACUUACUUAUCAGUGUGCUUGGAGACAGAGACUUGCAAGGAAAGAGCUUAGAAAGCCAAGAAUGGCUGCCAGGGAAACAGGAGCCCUUAAAGAGGCCAAAGACAAUCUUGAAAAGCGUGUGGAGGAACUGACAUGGCGUUUGCAGCUUGAGAAAAGACUAAGAACUGAUCUAGAAGAGACAAAAGCACAAGAAAUUGCUAAACUGCAAGACAUGUUGCAUGAGAUGCAACUGCAGGUAGAACAAGCAAAAUCCACAGUUAUUAAGGAACGGGAGGCUGCACGAAAAACUAUUGAAGAAGCACUUCCGAUCAUAAAGGAAACCCCUGUCUUAGUUCAAGAUACAGAAAAGAUUGAUUUACUAAAUGCUGAAACUGAAAACCUUAAGGUUUUGUUGCUAAUAGAAAAGCAGGCAACAGAUUCAGCCAAUAAAGCAUUUGCUGAAGCUCAGAACAGAAAUAUUGAACUGGUCAAGAAAGUUGAAGAUUCUGAAAUGAGAGCUGAUCAAUUUCAAGACACUGUUCAAAGGCUUGAAGAGAGAGUCUCAAACCUGGAGUCAGAGAAACAAGUGCUUCGUCAACAGGCGGUUGCCAUUUCACCAACUAGCAGAGCUUCAUGUUCAAAAACAACUAUCUUACAAAGAAGCACAGAAAAUGAGAAUAUCCUGAAUGGUAAAUCGAAACUUGCUUUGGACUUGAGUCCUGGUUCACCUAAUUCCAGAGAACUUCAAAAUGAUGAUAAACCACAUAAGUCACUCAAUGAGAAGCAGCAGGAAAAUCAGGACUUACUUAUUGAGUGUAUCUCUAAAGACUUGGGAUUCUCUGGGGGUAGGCCUAUUGCUGCUUGUGUCAUAUACAGAUGCCUUCUUCAUUGGAGAUCCUUUGAAGUUGAAAGGACUACUAUUUUUGACCGUAUAAUCCAAACAAUAGGCUCAGCUAUAGAGGCCCAGGAUAACAUUGAUGUUUUAUCCCACUGGUUGUCCAAUUCAUGUACUCUAUUGUUGCUCCUCCAACGAACAUUAAAAGCAAGUGGAGCAGCAAGUUUGACUCCACAGAGGCGUAGAACGUCAGCUUUAUUUGGGAGGAUGUCUCAAGGAAUUCGAGCCUCUCCUCAGAGUGCUGGCCUCUUUUCUUUUAGUGGUCGCAUGAUGGGUGGAUUGAGUGAUUUGCGUCAAGUUGAAGCUAAAUAUCCUGCUCUACUUUUCAAGCAGCAGCUUACUGCUUUCCUUGAGAAAAUCUAUGGAAUGAUUGGAGACAAUCUAAAGAAAGAAGUAUCUUCACUGCUUGCCUCAUGUAUCCAGGCGCCAAGAACAUCUCGUGCAAGCUUAAUUAGAGGCUCAUGAUCUCAAGCAAAUGCUAUGGCCCAGCAGGCACUGAUCGCGCAUUGGCAAAGCAUAGUGAAAAGCUUAACCAACUAGAAAAUCCUGAGAGCCAAUCAUGUCCCUCCAUUUUUGGUUCGCAAGGUGUUCACCGAAAUUUUCUCAUUUAUAAAUGUACAACUGUUCAACAGCCUUCUGCUGAGGCACGAGUGUUGUUCAUUUAGCAAUGGGGAAUAUCUCAAAGCAGGGCUGACUGAGUUAGAACACUGGUGCUAUGAUGCAACUGAAGAGUAUGCAGGUUCCGCAUGGGGUGAAUUGAAGCAUAUUAGGCAGGCUGUUGGUUUCCUGGUUAUACAUCAGAAACCAAAGAAGACCUUGAAGGAGAUAACCACUGAUCUAUGUCCAGUGCUCAGCAUACAACAGUUAUACAGAUUAAGUACAAUGUAUUGGGAUGACAAAUAUGGAACACAGCGUAUCAUCAGAGGUCAUUUCAAGUAUGAGAGUUAUGAUGACUGAGGAUUCAAAUAGUGCAGUCGGCAGUUCUUUCUUGUUGGAUGAUGAUUCGAGCAUACCAUUCUCCGUGGACGAUAUCUCAAAGACGAUGACUGAGAUAGAGGUAGCAGAUGUAGAUCCACCACCUCUAAUUCGUCAGAACUCGGGCUUUGUAUUUUUGGUACAGAGGAAGGAAUAGUAGACUUCAUCUUCAAGUUUCCUAUUCAUGCCCAAGAGGUGCAUAUUCGUCUUGUAGAUAUGAUGUUAUUCUAUUCAUGCCGAAUUAGCAUAACCAGGGGUAGAUUAUGAUUUUAGUAAUCGGGUUUGAUUUGUUGAUUUAAUUUCAUGAUUCUUUUGAUGAGUUGUAUUUAUUGGCAAUAAGCCCCUGUUCUGACUCUGUGCUGCUCAGUGUCUACCGUCAAGAAGUGAGAGGAUUCUCUUCUCUACUUCAACAAGCAUUUAGAAGUUGAACGAUUGGCAAUAAGGUUAACGUUUGUUUUAUGCUGAACGAUUUUUGAUGUAGUAUAUAAUUUGUCUUGGUCUUUCCAACAAAUUUAUACUCGCUACUUGUGAUACAUGAUUUAGUAAAGUGAGAUAAUAAAGGAUCUGGUUUUGAA